rnacentral:rRNA from 1 species
GAUGAACGCUGGCGGCGUGCUUAACACAUGCAAGUCGAACGGAAAGGCCCUGCUUUUGCGGGGUGCUCGAGAGGCGAACGGGUGAGUAACACGUGAGUAACCUGCCCUUGACUUUGGGAUAAAUUCAGGAAACUGGGGCUAAUACAGGAUAGGAGCUACUGAUGCAUGGGGGGGGAUGGAAAGAUUCGGCGGUUUGGGCAGGUAUAGAGGCUUAUCAGCUUGUUGGUGGGGUAGUGGCUGUCAAAGGCUUUGACGGGUAGGCGGCCUGGGAGGGUGACCGGCCACAUUGCGCCUGCGGUACGCCCCAGUCUCCAACGGGCGGCAGCAGUGGGAAGUAUUGCACAGUGGGCGGAAGCCUGAUGCAGCAACGCCGCGUGCGGGAUGACCGCCUUCGGGUUGUGAACCGCUUUCGCCUGUGACAAGGCGUUAGUGACGGUAAUUAGUCAAGAAGCACCGGCUAACUACGUG